rnacentral:rRNA from 1 species
CCCUUAGAUGUUCUGGGCCGCACACGCGCUACACUGAAGGAGGCAGCGUGUACUCCUGGAUCGAAAGAUUUGGGUAACCCGCGAAUCUCCUUCGUGCUAGGGAUUGAGGUUUGCAAUUAUCCUUCAUGAACGAGGAAUUCCCAGUAAGUGCAAGUCAUAAGCUUGCGCUGACUACGUCCCUGCCCUUUGUACACACCGCCCGUCGCUACUACCGAUUGAAUGAUUUAGUGAGGACUUCGGACUGGGACCGAUGCGGCUUUGGCUGCGUCGGUAUUCUGGAAAGAUGUCCAAACUGUAUCAUUUAGAGGAAGUAAAAGUCGUANCA